rnacentral:rRNA from 1 species
UACGAAGGGGGCUAGCGUUGUUCGGAAUCACUGGGCGUAAAGGGCGCGUAGGCGGCCGAUCAAGUCGGGGGUGAAAGCCUGUGGCUCAACCACAGAAUUGCCUUCGAUACUGGUUGGCUUGAGACCGGAAGAGGUAAGUGGAACUGCGAGUGUAGAGGUGAAAUUCGUAGAUAUUCGCAAGAACACCAGUGGCGAAGGCGGCUUACUGGUCCGGUUCUGACGCUGAGGCGCGAAAAGCGUGGGGAGCAAACAGG